GCAAUAAGAGGAAAUUAAUUAAGUACUUCCUGUUUUGCAGUCGCAUCGCGCAUGUGGCCGGUAGUCAUCUGCAAAGCAGUAAAACCUGCCGCUGCGACGGUAACUCAAUACGAGGCACCCGCCGAGUGAUGGAAAAAGACAGCAUGCAGGGAGUGAGUAAGGGCUUUCGCCAAUCAAGCAGGAAAAGUUAGCGCCUCCGCGGCUGGUGUGGAUCAUGCAUAUUUAUACGCUCAUUACGGACUCCGAUUUAUCUGUCACCGGCAGGAGGGACUGAUGAGCCGUGAGGAGUUCCGGGUGCUGGGGACGAGUCCCGUGGCGGGAACCCCACCGAGGAAUGACGGGAGAAGGGGCGGGAUCAAAGGGAGCCUGAGACGGGAUUCCUAAGAGGCGGCAGCGUAACAGUCUGUCGCUCCUAGGGGGGUGCUGAGUUUAAGCCAAAGACAUCACGACCCUGAGACGAGUCGAGAUCCUAAACCCAUCCUCUGACCCUAAACUCCAACUGCAGCCUCUGAGACUCAGGGCGAUGGAUUGAUUUAUUACACAAACUGGGCAGAUAAAAAAUAAGCUAAAAAUGUAUCGUGGGAUUCCCUGGUUCAUUUUGGUGCUGUGUGGUGCUGAUAUCAGACCCUGUCGGCUCGUGUACCUGCCACGAACAAUAGGACGCCCAUAAUUAACAAAGAUAUGGCUUUUUCGAUCUAGACUCUCUUUCACAGGUAUAUGGGCUGUUACUUAAACUCAGUUUAAUGAGAUUCUGGCAGCACUGAUGUGAAUCGGCCAGAAACCCACAUAAGUUCCCAAGACCCGUACAGACCCUAGAUUAGCAUGCGGCAUGAUUAUAAUAACGCAUGUGGCCAAUAUUCCUGGAGAUCCAUCCACUACAGGACCCCCUUUUUUUUAGGGAAGAAUAUGGUACAAUUAUCCUUUGUUUCCACUAUUCCCAGGAUAAAUACCAGCACAACAAUGACGCCCAUCCAGGUCGGCAUGACUGGGAACGCAGAUGCCUUGGUGAACUGGAUACGCGACCAUCAGGCGUUUGGACCUUCACAUCCAUGUUUUUGUAGUGCUGCUGGCGAGCGCCACGCUAAGGGUGGAGAGAGUUCACGGGUGGAGGCUGCGGGGUGUCUGGUGACCUCCAUUGGAAGGACAUCCACCAAACUGGGGAAGAACAUCAAUUAUCGGAAGCCUGGUGCGUGUUCCAGAAGCUUCUCACCUUGCUGCCUCUCUCUUUUUGUCCCGACCUGGUGUCGAUACCUUGUGUUCCAUUCAUUUUUCUCCUGUUUUAAGUUCUAUUGAAUAAAAAUGGUGUUUUGUUUUAUAUACAUCAUAUUUCACAGGAAACAAACCAAUAUUAAUUUGCUUUGUUUCCUUGGUUUCUGAAACAGACCAUAAAAACCAUAACGAUACCAGCCUCCCUCACACCCAGUUUCCUCAUAGGAUUCAGUGUUUUUUUUAAAGUUGAGAACCUUUAGUAUGGGACAGACUUUCUUUUCCUACAGGAAUUGCCUCUGUGGCUUCCAAUCCCCUCACGUUCAUCCGAACCUCUGUUUAGGGAGAAUUUCCAGAUUUUUCCAUAAAAUAUGUUUCUGAUCUAAGCUAGAGGGUGUUUUUGCAAGAGGCAUCUUGGUACUGGGCACAAAAUCUGCACCUCAAAGAAUCGGAGUCCGUGACCAGAAUCUGCUACCCUAGUGAUGAGUAUGAAUUAUUGCCCCCCCCCCUCCCCCCAAACACCAGGGAGUUGAUCUUUUAGGGGUGGGGUCUGGUCCAUCCACCACCUGCUCUCCCACCUUCGUGUCUAAAUACUAUAGUGCAGCAACCAGGAUGUGAUAUUCCUUUCAGCAUGUUGCAUAUUUAGGAAUUCGCUUUAUAUACAUCCGUCAAUUUUCUGUAAACACGUCCCAUAUUAGGGUCACGGGAGGAGGGGGUGGAGCCUAAAGGCACAAGG